CCCUAUGGGGUGCAGCAGGCGCGAAAACUUCACACUGCAGGAAACUGUGAUGAGGGAACUCCAAGUGCUAUCACUAUGUGGUAGCUUUUCUUGACUAUUAAUUGGUUAUGGAAUAAGGGUUGGGAAAGAUUGGUGUUAGUUGUUGUGUAAUAUUGGUAGUUCAAGUGGUCGUCGCUUUUAUUGGGCCUAAAACGUCCGUAGCCUGUUUGGUAAAUCUGUGGGUAAAUCAACCAGCUUAACUGGUUGAAUUCUGCAGAGACUGCCAGACUAGGGACCGGGAGAGGUGUGGGGUACUCUAGGGGUAGGGGUAAAAUCCUGUCAUCCUUAGAGGACCACCAGUUGCGAAGGCGCCACACUGGAACGGAUCCGACGGUCAGGGACGAAGCCUAGGGGCACGAACCGGAUUAGAUACCCGGGUAGUUUUAGGUGUAAACGCUGUGAACUUGGUGUCGGGGAUCCGUAAUGGGUCCUCGGUGCCGGAGUGAAGAUGUUAAGUUCACUGCCUGGGGAGUACGGUCGCAAGGCUGAAACUUAAAGGAAUUGGCGGGGGAGCACUGCAACGGGAGGAGCGUGCGGUUUAAUUGGAUUCAACGCCAGAAAACUCACCAAGGCCGACUGUUAGAUGAAGAUCAGCGUAAUGAGCUUAUCGGAUUUUCAGAGAAGAGGUGCAUGGCCAA
rnacentral:rRNA from 1 species